rnacentral:rRNA from 1 species
GAUUAACGCUAGCGGCAGGCCUAAUACAUGCAAGUCGAACGGCAGCACGGGUAGCAAUACCUGGUGGCGAGUGGCGCACGGGUGCGUAACGCGUAUGCAAUCUACCUGUAACUGGGGAAUAGCCUUCCGAAAGGAAGAUUAACACCGCAUAAUAUCACGAAACGGCAUCGUUUUGUGAUCAAAUCUCCGGAGGUUACAGAUGAGCAUGCGUGACAUAGCUAGUUGGUGAGGUAACGGCUCACCAAGGCGACGAUGUCUAGGGGGUCU